rnacentral:lncRNA from 1 species
CGAGGAGAUCCGGACGAGCGGAGUCAUGGUGGAGGUGGCGUGGGGACGGAGGGCGCGGGGCGGUGGCAUGGGGAGGUAGGUUGGGGACGACCGUCUUUUUUGCUUUUUGGCCCUUUUGGGGAAAGUUUUUCACAAGUAAGCCCUUUUUAGUUUCAAUUCAGAAAAUGGACCCUUACCUCGGCGCCAUCAUUAUUUGCGCCAAGGUUACACGUCUCGAUGCCAAUAUAAAUGGCACCAAGAUAUCUCUCUGGAGCACUGAUGUGGCGCCUACGUGGUAGGGGUCGGCGCCGUCACUAUUGACACCGACCCCUGCUGCCUGCAAACGGCCGCUUGGCCCUUGCGUUCGUGCGUUAGUAGCCCUCCUAAUAACGACAGAUGUCUAGGAUAAGUCGUCCUUGCACUAAUGGACGUCUAGGAUAAGUCUUAAGCGCUUCAUGGAUUUAUUUUCCGUUCCUUCACGUUAGUAACCUGAAAAGAAAACACGUACAAUUGCAAGUACCUAUCAGUUGGCAUGUAGCUGAAAUGAAAACUCGUAACACUAUGGCUAUGACCUGGAGCACGUGCAUAUGAUUGCUGAAGACAACGAAAAAUAGAAGUUGUUGACAAACUGUUGUAAAUAGAAACUGCGUGCUAAUAUAUAUAUAUAUAUGAUAUUAGGAGCCCUGGGCUUCCAAUAGCUGGGCGAAAGCCCUGAUCGGAUGUUGCCAACCAAUUCAGCCGCACCAGGUUCGAAGCGUCUAUAAAAGAAGUUCCAGAUCGCUAGGGUUCAGUUUUAGCGACGCCGACAGUUAUGCCCCCACCCUCGAGAGGCACGCGCGGCGGCGGAUCCUGGGAGCAAGUGCGCGACGGUGAAUCUGGGGGACAUGCUCGCGAUGGUGGAUCCGGGGAACACGCUCGCAGCGGUGGAUCCCUGAGGCCAGCGCGCGGCGAUGGCCCCCAUGAGGCGCGCAGAUGGCGAGGUGGGAGCGGCUGCAACAUCGGAUCCUGAGGGCACACACGCGGCAGCGGCCCCAUGAGGUGCGCACGACGGCGAGGUGGGAGCGGCCGCGCGGUGGAUCCUGAGGGGCACGAGCGCGGUAGCGUCUCCUUGAGGUGCACGCGGCAGCGACCGCUUGAGGUGCGCACGGCGGUGACAUGGGAGCGGCUGCGGCGGCGCGACGACGGAUCUCGGGGGCACGUGAGCAACGAUGGCACCCCUAAGGCGUGCAUAACGACGAGGUGGAAUGGCUGGUGCGACAGAUCUCAGGAUGCACGCGCGCGAGGGUGAACCCCUGAGCGUGUACGACUGUGAUGUCAUCCAAGGUGGGAGUAGCGAUGACGGACUUCCCUAGGCGCAAGCGACGAAAGCAGCCUCCCUAGGCACAAAGUGGUGGCGCAUCCUAGAUGUGAGGUGGCGGUUUCGCAGGGUGGCGGUCCUAUUUUUAUGCUAUUUUGUAUAUAUAUUUAUACCAAUGUCAAUAGUUUUUAUGACCUAUAUUUCAUUUCAUGGCUCCGCUUCCAUCUAUUUGUCUGUUUAUGAUAUUUCUAUUGACAUUUUACGCAAACGAUAUAUUGAUUUUAUGCAUUAUCUCGUUUACUUAAUCCAGUGUGUAUUGGGUUUCUACCAUUUAUGCCAUAUGUAUAAGAUAUAUUUACGACCCACACAUUUACACAACAAAAUAGAAAUUUAGAAAAAAGGUAACCGCUCUAAGAAAUGAGGUCAUUUGCCACGAUUCCAUAAAUCUCGCGUAUGCCGAUCCAUUUCCUUUUCAACUCACAUUUUUGUCAUUCUAAAUUUGUGCACAUGCAGUAGAAAACAGAUUUUUUUACCAGUCUACCGUACGACAUAAAUAACUUCACCGUGUUGUAUAAUUAGUAUCAAUAUAUAUCAUAAGCUGGUUCUAACGAGCUUUGAUGCAUGGAUGUUGGAGAGAUCCUAUAUUUAUAGAGGAAAUAAAGCAUUUAAAUCAGAUUUUUUUUCCAUACAUGUUUUCGUUAUGAAAUAAAUCGAUGAUUUACACUAAAAUUCAUACCCAUUUAUGUUGUUUUGGUUCACGUUUUACGCUGAAAUUCACAUGAGCUCCCACGCACGAUCCACUCCAUAUCUUCUGUUCCGAGAUAUAUAUAUAUAUAUAUAUAUAUAUAUAUGGUAACUUCCAGCUUCGUGGGCGCGCUAAUCACGGUGGUGUGUGGACCCACCUGAACGAACCAAUGAAAAGUUUGUUGUCGCUCUCCUGUUACGCAAGUCUAAACCAUUAAAUAUGCUAGCAUAAACACAAGCAGGAACCAACUACCCGACCAGCGAACACGACACUGGUCCACCUUCAUCCAUCCUAACUCGACCCCAUCACGUGCGGACCUUCUGUUUACGCAAAACAUAACACAUGUUUACGCAUGCAUAAACGUGUCCCACAAUCGCGCGGACGCACGCGCCCCACUGGCCUGACCUGACCACGCGCGUGACCACUACCGUGGCUGGGGCUUCCUAUGUCUAUCGGAAGCCCAGCCCAGGACUUCCAUUUCCAACAGCAUAUAUAUAUAUAUAUAUAUAUAUAUAUAUAUAUAUAUAUAUAUAUAUAUAUAUAUAUAUAUAUAUAUAUAUAUAUAUAUAUAUAUAUAUAUAUAUAUAUAUAUAUAUAUAUAUAUAUAUAUAUAUAUAUAAACAUAAGGAUUAAGCUGAAGUCUUCAGAAAGUUUGAAUUCCUGAAUAAUCCAUUGUGCUUUUGUGUGAAAAAAUAGACCGUACACAUACCAACAGCUUAAUGUGGAUAUUAGUUUGUGUUUUUGAAAUCAAAUAAGUGAUUAAGCAUGUCCAUCAAACAAUACCAAUGCAUGUCAUCAAAUCACUUGUUCAAAUACAAAUAUUUUUUUGUUUAGCACAAGCAAGCAUUAGUUGUGUUGGUUACAGACGUGAGCUUUAAUGUUUGUCGUUGUUGGUUCAAACCCCAAUAGACUCAUGUUUUAUUUGGUGUCUCCAUUUAUUUUGUACACUAUAAUACCCAAAGUUGUAGACCAUAGAAAACAAGGAUAACACUCUUGUGUAUUUUGCUUCUACAUACUAUCAUAUGAGAACACUCACUUUUAAAAGAAAAUAAUCAACAAAAGACACAUGAACAACUUAUGCAUCAUAUUGGAGUUUUAUUUGUGCAUUGAAUAAUAAUAACACUAAUAAAAUAUAAUAAUGAGUUGAAGAUUUGGAUCAAAACCUAAAUUUGAAAUUGGGAUUUGAAAAAUGGAAAAGAAGAGAGAAAUACUAUAAAAUACAAAAUGAAUUUAUAAAUAAAUAGACUCAACCCAUAUAGGAAUGUCCAAGUCAUACAUUCAAAUCUAAGUACAAAUUCACUACAAAAUUUGAAUUCAAAAUUGAGACUCAAAAAUAAAAAGGAAAACAUAAUAAAGAAAAAGAAAAAGAAAGUUGAUAGCUACUUGGGUCGGGAUGCCAUUUUGGCCCAUCUUCACUCACCGCGCAGCCCACCCGCGGAAGCAGGCGCCGACAACUGAGGCCCAAUCGUCAGAGGCUAUUUUUGCGCGCGCUCACGUAUACACCUAUCACAAUAGCGCGGACCCACUCUGUCAGCAUCACUUCGCGGUGCGCUCUCCAUGCCAGCCUCAUAUCGACUGACCAGUGGGGCCCCUUUACUGCUCAUCUUUCGUCGCGGUAACAGAACUCCGAUGGCCCCGGGAGCAUGGUGCUAACUCCGGAUCCGAUCCUCUUGGGGAUAAAAGCUAGCCCUCGCGCCGCUCGUUGACUAAACAUACCUCCCGGUCGUGAGCCUCUAGUGCAUCAGCCUCUCCUCCAUCACCGAGUGAUGUGGGUGAUUGCCGGUGCGCAACGAAGAAGGAGACCGCGGCCGCCGUUAGUGGACCACGACCGCGCCGAAGUUCUGCCCUCGAGCCUUGGACCUUCGCCCGUCCCCAGGGAACAUCUCAGUGUCAUUGGGUGAGGGUGGGAGGCUGUGGAGGACCUUGGAUUAUCGUCGGUGCCCCAGAACCACCGUAGAGCCGCCGAACAUCGUCGCCAGACCCCUGAGCCGCUCAAUCGCCGGUAAGGAGUGGUCAACCAUAUUCGCCAUGGUCCCUACUUUAUUUAUCCUCUAGUGUAUUUGAGGGAUCGUGUGUUUUGGCCUGGUUCAUCGUCGCGCCGGCAAUGGCGCCGCCGUUGGUGCUCGGGCGUCGGCUGGUUCGGCGAUAGGGUGGCGGUCGGAUCGCGACCGUUGGAUUGGAAAUAGACGAGCGAGAUUAGAAGGUCCAUACCCAUUCGGAUGUUGAAUCCACGCCAUUGGUGUGGAUCUUGUGGCUACGAUUUAAUUUCGCCUCGGAUCGAUCUAUGUCGUAGAUUACCGAUUGUGCGACCAAGAGAGAGGGAGAGAAGAUCGUGCGUCAUGGGUCGUGGAUUUCAGAUCCGACGGCGGUGAGUGAAAGCGGGAUUUUAACCGAAGCCGAUCUAAUAUGGACCAUUUAUGCUCGAUCUGAUGACUGAGAUUGACUUAUACCCCUUCGCUGUGCACGUUUUGCAGAAAAGCCCUUCUGUUUUAGAAAACCAACCCGCAGUUCAUCUCGGGUUUGCACAGAGUCUGGGGAGAACUGCGAGUUAGACCCUGUGUUUCUGAGUAAAUGACGCGCAGUCCAGAGGGAAAUAAAAAUAGAGAAACAAUUCGGGAUAUUGAUUUUCAAUACAAAAAAAUCAGAAACUUGUAUAAAUCAUAUUAAAUUGAUUUUAGGUCCAAUUUGAUCCAUUCCAGUUACAUUAAUUUUGUUUUAAUAUUGUAUAUCACUUAGUACCUCUGUUUAGCCAUGAAACAUGAAUUAAAAUUGUUCAUUUGAAUUAAUCUAUUCUAAGUGCUAAAUAACUUCAUAAAUGCAUAACUUAAUAGCCGUAGAUCCGAAUUUAGUGAUUCUUGUUCCUACAAUCUCGUUAUGCAGCAUAGAAUAUUAUUAUGCAUUUUAUUCUACUGUUUGGUGUGAUGUUAAUUUUUGGUAUACUAUGUAUGUUUGUAUUGAUGCGAAUAGACGAGCAAGCCAUAGAGGAUCCGGGGGUUCAUAAGGUGGAGACUGCUGAGCAGGAGCUCAUUGAAGGCAAGUUGUGCCCUUGACCACUUCUUUUUACCCAGUCAUGUUCUUAUUAAUCAUAAUGAUCUGCAUAGGUUAAUUUUGAUGGGACCCAAUAGGUUACCCUAGUUUGGCUAUCUUUAUACCUUAUUUUACCACUGAAUUUUUGGGUAGUACAUGCUAUUGCUUUAUGUGGUUUUGGGUAUGGAGAUAUACAUUACUCAUGUUCACACUUUUAUUAUCAGUUUAUUAUUUACUGUUCAUGAUAAGAUCAUUAUGUUAAUUGGAACAUGGAGAACCACUCGGGAAAACAGUGCUACCACAAGGGUGGUACGGGACGCCCUUGGCUGACUAACUAGGAAAGCUAGUGGAGGACUACCUUACCCGAUAGGGGCAAGGGCAGUAGGAGAGUGAUCAGUGUGGGGAGGUCCUUGGGUUGAUUUUGCUGUGAUGGUCGUCAGACGAGGGGUCCCUGCACUGGAGCUUCCUAAAAACUGUAGCGGGUUUUUCAGAAGCUUGUGGAACUUUGUAAAGGCCUCGUAGUGGAACCCUGCCUCGCUUUCUUGGUAGAGGUGUAUGGGGUCUGAUCAACUCCAUGGUAAAUGGGUAACACGACUUGUGGGUAAAGAUGCGCAACCUCUGCAGAGUGUAAAACUGGUAUACUAGCUGUGCUCACGAUCAUGAGCAGCUCGGACAUUCACAUGAUUAAUUUAUGGAAUUAAAUUCAAUUUGUCAAUUGCGUCGCAUUGGGAUUAUUUAUUAUUAUUUUGACUUAUUAUUUGUUGGGGGUCUGUUUCGUCGCCGAAGGUCCUUUAAGAAGAAACACCUUCGAUAGAUCAGCACAAAAGCAAACAUAGCGCGAAGGUACACACCGAAGCUACCUUCCAGGGAGCUUAGGCAUAGCGACAUACCUUGAUACGAAGGGCUGCAACGACUUAAAGAGGAAAAGACCAAUGGGCCGAUAGUAAUUUGUGCCAUGAUUGUAACUAGUUGUAGAGGACAUAAAUGUAAUUUCGACCGGGCUAUGUCCCGUGCCUAUAAAUAGAUGAACAUUACCCCUAUACUGUUCACGCUGACUUGUAUUCGCUCGUGCAUCACGCUUGGACUUU